GGCGACCGGCGAAUGGGUGAGUAACACGUAUGCAACUUACCUCUUAGUGGUGAAUAACUCGAUGAAAGUCGGACUAAUACACCAUACUCUCCUUAGAUCACAUGAGAAGAGGAGGAAAGAUUAAUCGCUAAGAGAUAGGCCUGCGUUCCAUUAGCUAGUUGGUAAGGUAACGGCUUACCAAGGCAACGAUGGAUAGGGGGACUGAGAGGUUGACCCCCCACAUUGACACUGAGAUACGGGUCAAACUCCUACGGGAGGCAGCAGUGAGGAAUAUUGGUCAAUGGGCGAGAGCCUGAACCAGCCAAGUCGCGUGAAGGAAGACUGCCCGCAAGGGUUGUAAACUUCUUUUGUAUGGGAUUAAAGUCGUCUACGUGUAG
rnacentral:rRNA from 1 species